UAGUUAAAUACGUUACUAUUUCGUAUAACCUCAAAAAUGGUUUGGGGGUUUCUACAAGGCACCGUAAAAGGCCUGACUACGAAAAAUAUUCCUAAAGGG
rnacentral:ncRNA from 2 species